GACGAACGCUGGCGGCGUGCUUAACACAUGCAAGUCGAGCGGUAAGGCCCUUUCGGGGGUACGACGAGCGGCGAACGGGUGAGUAACACGUGGGUGACCUGCCCUCAGCUCUGGGAUAAGCCUGGGAAACCGGGUCUAAUACUGGAUAUGACUCCAUGACGCAUGUUGUGGGGUGGAAAGCCUUGUGCGGCUGAGGAUGGGCCCGCGGCCUAUCAGCUUGUUGGUGGGGUGANGGCCUACCAAGGCGACGACGGGUAGCCGGCCUGAGAGGGCGACCGGCCACACUGGGACUGAGACACGGCCCAGACUCCUACGGGAGGCAGCAGUGGGGAAUCUUGCGCAGUGGGCGAAAGCCUGACGCAGCGACGCCGCGUGAGGGAUGACGGCCU
rnacentral:rRNA from 1 species